rnacentral:tmRNA from 1 species
GGGGCCGUCAUGGUUUCGACAGGAUAAAGUUUAGUUAGAAAGUCAGUCCAGUGGUGAGGUAAUCACUAUUUCGAAAAUAAUCGGAAACAAUCAAAAUUAUUCAUACGCUGCAUAAUACCUAAAAACUGGUUAGCAGCCAAUUAUAGGCGAUUUGUCUAGAGUCAAAUAUAAUUGCAAUUUAUCUAGAUGCGCUAUUUAUUUGAUCAAACUAAAUAGUUUAAUUUAAGAUCUAUAAAUAAUUAGUUUUUGUUUACUUUUACUUUUUAUUUGAACAUAUAAAAGUAUUCUAAACUGUAAAUCUUCUAACACGGGACUUAUUUUGGACAGGGGUUCGACUCCCCUCGGCUCCACCA